AAAUAAGAUAUCAAGGGCAACAGGUGAAUGCCUUGGCGCUGAGAGGCGAUGAAAGACGCGGUAAGCUGCGAUAAGCAUCGGGGAGGAGCUAAACAUCCUACGAUCCGAUGAUUUCUGAAUGGGGAAACCCGAUGGGAGUCAUGUCCCAUCAUCCUGAGCUGAAUAUAUAGGCCCAGAGAAGCCAACCCGGGGAAGUGAAACAUCUCAGUACCCGGAGGAAGAGAAAUCAAACGAGACUCCCAAAGUAGCGGCGAGCGAAAUGGGAAGAGCCCAAACCGAGUGGUUUCGACCAUUCGGGGUUGUAGGGCCGGCAUACGCGAUUCUGGAGUAGGCAGAGGAAGUGAGCUGGAAAGCUCCGCCACAGCGGGUGAUAGCCCCGUACUCGAAACCGAAAAGGACGCAGCCGGUACCUGAGUACUGCGAGGCACGUGGAACCUCGUGGGAAUCUAGGGGGACCAUCCUCUAAGGCUAAGUACUCCUCAGCGACCGAUAGUGAACUAGUACCGUGAGGGAAAGGUGAAAAGAACCCCUGUUAGGGGAGUGAAAUAGAAUCUGAAACCUGUUGCCUACAAGCUGCGAGAGCUACUUCGGUAGUGAUCGCGUGCCUUUUGUAUUAUGAGUCAGCGAGUUACUCUACCGUGCGAGGUUAAGCGAAAGCGUAGCCGUAGUGAAAGCGAGGCUUAAUAGGCCGACUAGUACGUUGGAGUAGACCCGAAACCGGGUGAUCUAUCCAUGAGCAGGUUGAAGCAAGGGUAAAGCCUUGUGGAGGACCGAACCGUCAACGGCUGAAAACGUUCCGGAUGACUUGUGGAUAGGGGUGAAAGGUCAAUCAAACCCGGUGAUAGCUGGUUCUCCCCGAAAUAUAUUGAGGUAUAGCCUCGGGAAUUGAUUAGCGGAGGUAAAGCACUGACAGAGCUAGGGGUCCUACCAGAUUACCAAACUCUAUCAAACUCAGAAUGCCGCUUAAUUGUAUCCCGGGAGUCAGACGGCGGGUGCGAAGGUUCGUCGUCAAAAGGGAAACAGCCCAGACCAACAGCUAAGGUCUCCAAAUCCAUGCUCAGUGGUGAAGGUAGUGGAACCGUUUAGACAGCCAGGACGUUGGCUUAGAAGCAGCCAUCGUUUAAAGAAAGCGUAAUAGCUCACUGGUCUAAUGGCUCUGCGCCGAAAAUGUAACGGGGCUAAGCAUGGUACCGAAGCUUUGGCAAUCCCCUUUGGGGAUUGGGUAGGGGAGCGUUCGCUGCGGGCUGAAGGUGUGCCGGAAGGCAUGCUGGACUGCAGUGAAGUGAUUAUGCUGACAUGAGUAACGAUAAAAUAUGUGAAAAACAUAUUCGCCGAAAACCCGAGGUUUCCUGGGUAAAGGUAAUCUUCCCAGGGUUAGUCGGAUCCUAAGGUGAGGGUGAAAGCCGUAACCGAUGGAAAACAGGUUAAUAUUCCUGUACUUGUUGUGUAGCGCGAUGGAGGGACGCAGGAAGAUAGGCGGGCCGGGUGUUGGAUAUCCCGGUGCAAGCGUGUAGGAAUAUCCGGUAGGCAAAUCCGCCGGACGAAUCUGAGACGCGAGUCCGUGGGCGCAAGCCCUGAAGCCGUUGAGUCUAUGCUGCCUAGAAAAGCUCCUAAGUUUAUCCACAGCAAUCCGUACCGCAAACCAACUCAGGUGGGUGGGAUGAACAAUCCAAGGCGCUCGAGAGAACUCUGGCCAAGGAACUCGGCAAAAUAACCCCGUAACUUCGGAAGAAGGGGUGCUCUCUAGGGUGACAUGUUUAACAUAUGAAGCCCCGGGGAGCCGCAGUGAAUUGGUGGUGGCGACUGUUUACUAAAAACAUAGGUCUGUGCGAAGUCCUAAAGACGACGUAUACGGACUGACGCCUGCCCGGUGCUGGAAGGUUAAAAGGAGAUGUGCAAGCAUUGAAUUGAAGCCCCAGUGAACGGCGGCCGUAACAAUAACGGUCCUAAGGUAGCGAAAUUCCUUGUCAGGUAAGUUCUGACCCG
rnacentral:rRNA from 1 species